AACACAUGCAAGUCGAACGCAUCGCAAGAUGAGUGGCAGACGGGUGAGUAACACGUGGGAACAUACCCUUUGGUGCGGAACAACAGCUGGAAACGGCUGCUAAUACCGCAUGCGCCCUACGGGGGAAAGAUUUAUCGCCGAAGGAUUGGCCCGCGUCUGAUUAGCUAGUUGGUGAGGUAAUGGCUCACCAAGGCGACGAUCAGUAGCUGGUCUGAGAGGAUGAUCAGCCACACUGGGACUGAGACACGGCCCAGACUCCUACGGGAGGCAGCAGUGGGGAAUAUUGGACAAUGGGCGCAAGCCUGAUCCAGCCAUGCCGCGUGAGUGAUGAAGGCCCUAGGGUUGUAAAGCUCUUUCAGCGAGGAGGAUAAUGACGUUACUCGCAGAAGAAGCCCCGGCUAACUUCGUGCCAGCAGCCGCGGUAAUACGAAGGGGGCUAGCGUUGUUCGGAAUCACUGGGCGUAAAGCGCACGUAGGCGGACUUUUAAGUCAGGGGUGAAAUCCCGGGGCUCAACCUCGGAACUGCCUUUGAUACUGGAAGUCUGGAGUCCGAGAGAGGUGAGUGGAACUCCCAGUGUAAAGGUGAAAUUCGUANAUUUCCGNAAGAACACCAGUNGCGAAAGNGGCUCACUUGCUCCGGUACUGANCCCUGAAGUGCGAAAAAACUUGGGGGACAAAACANGGNUUNNAAAACCCCNNGGGGAGGCCCCC
rnacentral:rRNA from 1 species